CCUGAUCCAGCCAUGCCGCGUGAGUGAAGAAGGCCUUCGGGUUGUAAAGCUCUUUCGGCCGGGAAGAAAUCGUGCAGGCUAAUACCCUGUAUGGAUGACGGUACCGGAAUAAGAAGCACCGGCUAACUACGUGCCAGCAGCCGCGGUAAUACGUAGGGGGCGAGCGUUGUCCGGAUUUACUGGGCGUAAAGGGUGCGUAGGCGGCCUUGUAAGUCAGAUGUGAAAGGCUACGGCUCAACCGUAGUAAGCAUUUGAAACUGCAGGGCUUGAGUGCAGGAGAGGAGAGUGGAAUUCCUAGUGUAGCGGUGAAAUGCGUAGAUAUUAGGAGGAACACCAGUGGCGAAGGCGACUCUCUGGACUGUAACUGACGCUGAGGCACGAAAGCGUGGGGAGCAAACA
rnacentral:rRNA from 1 species